CAAUGAUCCUGCUGAAACAUCUGUCACCCCAUUGAACGUCAGCACUGAUUCUGCUGAUCUGGCUGGCUAGGCAUGUGUCCCCUUCCUCCAUCACUGCUCCAUGUGUGUCCCUCCCGAAGUUGUGCACUCAGUCAAAGAGGAUGACUUUCCUGAAUACAGGAGGACUGGUCUUUGGUCAAGGGUGUACGAGUAGCUGUGUUCCCCUGCUAGAUCCUCCAAACAAGCUCUCAAAUUGUUUGCUUCUGAAUAGUUUAGACUUCUGGUAGCUCAUUGGCCACAGUUGCAGUCCAAUUCACUUUGCUGGU
rnacentral:snRNA from 1 species